AAUGUUAUAGUUUAAAAAAAAUUUUAAAUUGCAAAUUUAAAGAUAAGGGCUUCUUUGACAUUU
rnacentral:tRNA from 1 species